CCUACGGGGGGCAGCAGUGGGGAAUAUUGCGCAAUGGGCGAAAGCCUGACGCAGCGACGCCGCGUGAGGGAUGAAGGUCUUCGGAUCGUAAACCUCUGUCAGCAGGGAAGAACGGUCACUGUGCUAAUCAGCAGUGAAUUGACGGUACCUGCAAAGGAAGCACCGGCUAACUCCGUGCCAGCAGCCGCGGUAAUACGGAGGGUGCGGGCGUUAAUCGGAAUUACUGGGCGUAAAGCGCUCGUAGGCGGUAUGUCAAGUCAAGGGUGAAAUCCCCGCGCUCAACGUGGGAACUGCCUUUGAAACUGGCAAACUGGAGUGUGUGAGAGGAAAGUGGAAUGCCAGGUGUAGGAGUGAAAUGCGUAGAUAUCUGGAGGAACAUCAGUGGCGAAGGCGACUAUCUGGCACAUAACUGACGCUGAGGAGCGAAAGCGUGGGUAGCGAACAGGAUUAGAUACCCCUGUAGUC
rnacentral:rRNA from 1 species